rnacentral:ncRNA from 1 species
GAAUAUAUUAAUAUAAUAGAUUACCCUUUGAACUUAAGCAUAUCAUUAAAAGGAGGAGAAGAAACUAACUAGGAUUUCUUUAGUAGCAGCGAGUGAACAAGAAACAACCCUUGAUUGUAAUCCUUAUGGAGCUGUAAAUCAUAUAUUUUAUUUCUUAUUUCGUAGAGGAUGUAUAUCCGUUAUAAAUGAGAUAUAUAAUAGUAAUUGAGUAGGGCUGCUUGGUAGUGCAGUUUGAAUAUAGGUAGAAUGAGAUAUCUAAGGUUAAAUAUCAUGGUACACCGAUAGCAAAUAAGUACUGCGAAGGAACUUGUGAAAAUGUGUGGGUUAUAGCCUUAUUUUUAAGGACCCGUCUUGAAACACGGACCAAGGAGAUUAUAAUUAUAGCGAGAUAACAAUGUAGUCGUUAUUAGCUUGAUAAGUUAUAAUUAUAAGACCCGAAACACAGUGAACUAUACAUGUUCUGGUUGAAGAUAAGCAACAGUUUAUUGGAAGACCAUAAUCAUUCUGACGUGCAAAUCGAUGAUUUAAGAUGUGUAUAGUGGCGAAAGACCAA